UGGGGCUGGCGGCGCCGGUGG
rnacentral:misc_RNA from 1 species